AGGACGAACGCUGGCGGCGUGCUUAACACAUGCAAGUGGAGCGACGAACCAGGGCUUGCCCUGGGGCAGAGCCGCGAACGGGUGAGUAACACGUGGGUUACCUGCCUCGAUGACCGGGACAACCCGAGGAAAACUCGGGCUAAUACCGGAUGUGCCCGUAAGGGGAAAGGAAGCUUCGGCCUCCGCAUCGAGAUGGGCCCGCGGCCCAUUAGCUUGUUGGUGAGGUAACGGCUCACCAAGGCUUCGAUGGGUAGCUGGUCUGAGAGGACGAUCAGCCACACUGGGACUGAGACACGGCCCAGACUCCUACGGGAGGCAGCAGUGGGGAAUCUUGCGCAAUGCGCGAAAGCGUGACGCAGCAACGCCGCGUGGGGGAAGAAGGCUUUCGGGUUGUAAACCCCUUUCACGUUGGGACGAAGCUUACUCCGGUGAAUAGCCGGACGGAGUGACGGUACCUUCACAAGAAGCACCGGCUAACUACGCGCCAGCAGCCGCGGU
rnacentral:rRNA from 1 species